AUGGCGGCCGGAGGAUUAAUGGAGCAGGACCUAAGCAAGCUUGACGUUACAAAGCUCCACCCGUUGUCACCUCAAGUUAUCUCACGCCAGGCCACCAUCAACAUUGGUACAAUUGGUCAUGUGGCCCACGGGAAGUCUACCGUUGUGAAAGCUAUAACCGGAGUUCAGACUGUUCGCUUCAAGAAUGAGCUUGAACGUAACAUCACUAUCAAGCUGGGUUAUGCUAAUGCAAAAAUCUAUAAAUGCGAGGACGACAGAUGUCCACGACCGAUGUGCUACAAGCUUAUGGAAGCGGAAAAGAAGAUUCUCCUGUCUGUGAUGUUCCUGGGUUUCCGUUUCAAAAAAAAUGUUCCUGGGUUUGAAAACACUAGGAUGAAGCUUAUGAGACAUGUUUCCUUUGUUGAUUGUCCGGGUCACGACAUUCUCAUGGCCACAAUGCUUAAUGGAGCAGCUAUCAUGGAUGGAGCCUUGCUUUUGAUAGCAGCAAAUGAGAGCUGCCCACAACCCCAGACAUCCGAGCAUCUUGCGGCUCUUGCGGGUCUCAAACACCUCAUAAUUCUGCAGAAUAAGAUUGAUGUUAUCCAGGAGAGUGCAGCAGUGAACCAGCAUGAAGAAAUCCAAAAAUUCAUCCAGGGCACGAAAGCUGAAGGUGCUCCUGUGGUGCCAAUAUCUGCCCAGCUCAAGUACAACAUUGAUGUCAUCUGUGAAUACAUUGUGAAGAAAAUCCCCAUUCCGGAGAGGAACUUCACAUCACCUCCCAACAUGAUUGUCGUUCGCUCCUUUGAUGUCAACAAGCCUGGUUCAGAGGUUGAUGAGAUCAGAGGUGGGGUGGCAGGUGGCACCAUCCUCAGGGAUGCGAGCGGCAACGUGAAAUGCUCCCCGAUCUACUCGAGGAUCGUCUCGCUCUACGCCGAGCAGAAUGAACUCCAAUUUGCUGUGCCAGGAGGGCUUAUUGGUGUGGGAACGACCAUGGAUCCGACUUUGAGUCGUGCAGAUAGGCUGACCGGCCAGGUCCUGGGAGAAAUCGGGUCGCUCCCUGAUGUGUUCGCAGAGCUUGAGGUUUGUCAAAUCUUUCAUUCUUUUUUCCAAAACAGAGAUAUACUCUACUAG
rnacentral:rRNA from 1 species